CAGUCGCCGCGGUAAUACGAAGGGGGCUAGCGUUGCUCGGAAUGACUGGGCGUAAAGGGCGCGUAGGUGGCGGCCAAAGUCAGGCGUGAAAUUCCCGGGCUCAACCUGGGGGCUGCGUUUGAUACUUGGUUGCUUGAGUGGGGAAGAGGGUCGUGGAAUUCCCAGUGUAGAGGUGAAAUUCGUAGAUAUUGGGAAGAACACCGGUGGCGAAGGCGGCGACCUGGUCCUUGACUGACGCUGAGGCGCGAAAGCGUGGGGAGCAAACAGGAUUAGAUACCCCUGUAGUCCCUGUCUCUUAUAC
rnacentral:rRNA from 1 species